AAAAACUUUAGAAAAAAUAAGAGAAAAGCUAAUUUUUAAAACUUAUGGGAUCCAUGGCUGGGUAACAUUUUCAUACUUGACACCAAAAAAUUACAGUACAUAAAAGGAAAAAUUGGCAAAUUAACCUUCAUCAAAAUUAAAUCUUUUGUUCUCUCAUAGUGCCUGUUAAGAGGAUGUGCAGGUAAGAUACAGACUAGGAAAAAUAUUUGUAAACCAUUAAUCCAACGAUAAAAUUGUGUCUAGAAUACAUAAAGGACCAAAAGUCACAAUGAGCCAUUUCACUAAAAAGAAUAUACAGUGGGCUAAUUAGCACACAAAAAGAUGGUUACAUCAUCUGCCUUUUGGUAAAUGCAAAUUAAAACCACAAUAAAAAAUAGAGGUUUUUAGGACAGGGAAACUACUUGUGUGAUACUAAAACGGUAGACACGUGUCAUCAUAAGUUUUUCCAAACUCAUAAAAAUGCAACAACACAAGUGAACCCUAAUGUAAACUAUAAACUUUGGAUGAUAACGUGUCAAUGUAAGUUUAUUAACUCUGACAAAUGUAUGACUCUAGUAGGGAUGUUGAUAAUGAGAGAAGGCUAUACAUGUGUGGGGGCAGAGGUAUAUGGAUUAUCUCUGUACUUUCCUUGCAGUUAUUCUGUGAAUCUAAAACUGCUCUAAAAAGUAAAGUCUAUUUUCUUUUUAAAAAGACACUCACAGGACCAAGAUGCCUGAAUAGAAGUUUCUAUGGAUUCUCCCUGCUCCUCCACAGUUUAACAACUGUCUACACAAAAAGUACUUCCAUAAGAACCAAAAAUCAGACACAGAUAAACAUCCAUAAGCGUCAAGACCAUUGAGGAAAAUAUGACCUCACCAAAUGAACUAAAUAGGACACCAGGGACCAAUCCUGGAGAAACAGAGAUAUGUGACCUUUUAGACAGAAAAUUCAAAUUAGCUAUUUUGAAAAAACCUCAAAGAAAUUCAAGAAAACACAGAGAAGGAAUUUGGAAUUCUAUCAGAUAAACUUAACAAUGAGAUUUAAAUCAUUAAAAAGAAUUAAGCAGAAAUUCUGGAGUUCAGAAAUGCAAUUGACACAAUGAACAAUGCAUCAGUCUUUUUAUAGCACAAUUGAUUAAGCAGAAGAAAUAAUUAGUGAACCUGAAGACAGGCUGUUUGAAAAUACACAAUCAGAAGAGCCAAAAGAAAAGAAUAAAAAACAAUGAAGCAUACA
rnacentral:lncRNA from 13 species